rnacentral:tRNA from 1 species
GCCCCCAUAGCUCAAUGGAUAGAGCACCUGCCUUCUAAGCAGGUGAUACAGGUUCGAUUCCUGUUGGGGGUACCA